UCGGGCGGCGGGCGCAUGCGU
rnacentral:siRNA from 1 species